rnacentral:rRNA from 1 species
GACGAACGCUGGCGGCGUGCUUAACACAUGCAAGUCGAACGAAGAGCGAUGGAAGCUUGCUUCUAUCAAUCUUAGUGGCGAACGGGUGAGUAACGCGUAAUCAACCUGCCCUUCAGAGGGGGACAACAGUUGGAAACGACUGCUAAUACCGCAUACGAUCUAAUCUCGGCAUCGAGGAUAGAUGAAAGGUGGCCUCUACAUGUAAGCUAUCACUGAAGGAGGGGAUUGCGUCUGAUUAGCUAGUUGGAGGGGUAACGGCCCACCAAGGCGAUGAUCAGUAGCCGGUCUGAGAGGAUGAACAGCCACAUUGGGACUGAGACACGGCCCAGACUCCUACGGGAGGCAGCAGUGGGGAAUCUUCCGCAAUGGACGAAAGUCUGACGGAGCAACGCCGCGUGAGUGAUGACGGCCGUCGGGUUGUAAAGCUCUGUUAAUCGGGACGAAAGGCCUUCUUGCGAAUAGUGAGAAGGAUUGACGGUACCGGAAUAGAAAGCCACGGCUAACUACGUG